GCCACACCUCUGCCAUCGCAACAGGGGAACAAUCAGUUGCUGCGUGACAUGGGCAUCAGCACCGUCAUUGCUCUCCUUGGCCAGCUGAGGGAGGAAAACUGACUGCUUACUAUUUUUCAGAUUCACCGUCUUCAGAAACCCCGCCAGGCCCUUUCCUUCACAGCCAGCCACUAACCCAUGAUUCACCCCAGCCACGUCACCGCUUCCAUUAAGUCAAAGAGGAAAUCAAU